CAGAUGUUUGGAGUGACAGUAUUUAUUGAAAAAAUUCCACAUGUAAAUGGACCUGUGCAAUUCAAACCUAUGUUGUUUAAGGGUCAACUGAAAAUAGGAAACUACUGUAAUGAAAGUAUUGUAAGAGAAUUAAGCUUCACGAGCACAGAAAAGAUCAUACAGCUAAUCUAGCCAUAAGGAAAGGGCCAUUGGAAAAGGCAUUUUGAAGUGGUUAGUUCUGAGCAAGCCAGACAGGCAGAUGAAAGCAUGUGCAAAGAAAGGGACAGAAGCAGAAGAGAAUGUGGUGUAAUUU